rnacentral:rRNA from 1 species
GACGAACGCUGGCGGCGUGCUUAACACAUGCGAGUCCAGCGGAAAGGCCCCUUCGGGCGUACUCGAGCGGCGAACGGGUGAGUAACACGUGCGUAACCUGCCCCCGACUUUGGGAUAACCCCGGGCAACCGGGGCUAAUACCGGGUAUGACCCGGCCAGGCAUCUGGCCGGGUGGAAAGCGUUGGCGGUCGGGGAUGGGCGCGCGGCCUAUCAGCUUGUUGGUGGGGUGAGGGCCUACCAAGGCGACGACGGGUAGCCGGCCUGAGAGGGCGACCGGCCACGCUGGGACUGAGACACGGCCCAGGGUCCUACGGGAGGCAGCAGUGGGGAAUAUUGCACAAUGGGCGCAAGCCUGAUGCAGCGACGCCGCGUGAGGGAUGACAGCCUUCGGGUUGUAAACCUCUUUCGACAGGGACGAAGCGCAAGUGACGGUACCUGGAGAAGAAGCGCCGGCCAACUACGUGCCAGCAGCCGCCGUAAGAC